rnacentral:rRNA from 1 species
GUGUCAGCAGCCGCGGUAACACGUAGGGGACGAGCGUUGUCCGGAAUCAUUGGGCGUAAAGCGCGCGUAGGCGGCCCGGAAAGUCGGAUGUGAAAUCCCGGGGCUCAACCCCGGGCCUGCAUCCGAUACUCCCGGGCUGGAGGCAGGUAGGGGAGAUCGGAAUUCCUGGUGUAGCGGUGAAAUGCGCAGAUAUCAGGAGGAACACCGGUGGCGAAGGCGGAUCUCUGGGCCUUGCCUGACGCUGAGGCGCGAAAGCUAGGGGAGCGAACAGGAUUAGAAACCCUAGUAGUCC